GGAGAGAUGGCCGAGCGGUCCAAGGCGCCAGACUAAGGAUUACGUAAUCCGCUCCCUUCGGGAGCGUGGGUUCGAAUCCCACUUUCUUCA
rfam:Jaapia argillacea MTCL 33604 unplaced genomic scaffold JAAARscaffold_52, whole genome shotgun sequence.